rnacentral:rRNA from 1 species
AUACGUAGGUGGCGAGCGUUGUCCGGAAUUACUGGGCGUAAAGGAUGCGUAGGUGGAUAUUUAAGUGGGAUGUGAAAUCCCCGGGCUCAACCCGGGAACUGCAUUCCAAACUGGGUAUCUAGAGUGCAGGAGAGGAAAGCGGAAUUCCUAGUGUAGCGGUGAAAUGCGUAGAUAUUAGGAGGAACACCAGUGGCGAAGGCGGCUUUCUGGACUGUAACUGACACUGAGGCAUGAAAGCGUGGGUAGCAAACAGGAUUAGAUCCCCUGGUAGUCCACGCCGUAAACGAUGGGUACUAGGUGUAGGAGGUAUCGACCCCUUCUGUGCCGUCGUUAACACAAUAAGUACCCCGCCUGGGGAGUACGGUCGCAAGACUAAAACUCAAAGGAAUUGACGGGG